AGGGAUCUGGAUAGGUUGGAUAGCUGGGCUGAAACCAAUGGGAUGGGAUUCAACAAGACCAAAUGCCGGGUCCUGCACUUUGGCCACAAUAACCCCAGGCAACGCUACAGGCUUGGGGCAGAGUGGCUGGAAGACUGUGUAGAGGAAAUGGACCUGGGGGUGUUGAUUGACGCUAGACUGAACAUGAGCCAGCAGUGUGCCCAGGUGGCCAAGAAGGCCAAUAGCAUCCUGGCUUGUAUCAGAAAUAGCGUGGCCAGCAGGAACAGGGAAGUAAUUGUCCCCCUGUACUCAGCACUGGUGAGGCCGCACCUUGAGUACUGUGUCCAGUUUUGGGCCCCUCACUGUAAGAAAGACAUCGAGGCCCUGGAGCGUGUCCAGAGGAGGGCAACAAAGCUGGUGAGGGCUGGUGAGGGGUCUGGAGCACAGGCCUUAUGAAGAGCGGCUGAAGGAGCUGGGGUUGUCCAGUCUAGAGAAGAGGAGGCUCAGAGGAGACCUUAUUGCUCUCUAUAGCUACCUGAAGGGAGGUUGUGGUGAGCUGGGGGUCAGCCUCUUCUCCUGGGUGACUAGUGAUAGGACGAGAGGAAAUAGCUUCAAUCUGUGUCAGGGAAGAUUCAGGCUGGACAUUAGGAAAUACUACUUCUCUGAAAGGGUGGUCAGGCACUGGAAUGGGCUGCCCAGAGAGGUGGUGGAGUCACCGAUCCUGGUGGUGUUCAAAGAGCUUUUGGAUGUUGUGUUGAGGGACAUGGUUUAGUGAGAACCAUUGGUGAUGGGCGAAUGGUUAGAUGGGAUGAUCCUGUGGGUCUUUUCCAACCUUAGCGAUUCUAUGAUUCUAUGACAAAAAUUCUGUUUAUGAUAAUAAUCACACAAAUUUUGGU
rnacentral:lncRNA from 1 species